UCAAACAAAUUUAAUCAGUUUCUGUGAGGAGGUAAGUUCUAGACUCGACAGCGGCAAAUUAAUGGAUGUCGUAUAUCUGGACUUCUCCAAAGCAUUUGUCACUGUACUGCAUGAAAGGUUAGUAAAUAAAAGGAGAAUGCUUGGACUGGGAGAAAAUGUCUGUAUGUGGGUAAGUAACUUGCUCAGUGAUAGAAAACAGAGGGAGGUUAUUAAUGGUACACACUCAGAUGGGGUCACUGUCACUAGUGGAGUACCU